GACGAACGCUGGCGGCGUGCUUAACACAUGCAAGUCGAACGGAAAGGCCCUGCUUUUGUGGGGUUCUCGAGUGGCGAACGGGUGAGUAACACGUGAGUAACCUGCCCUUGACUUUGGGAUAACUUCAGGAAACUGGGGCUAAUACCGGAUAGGAGCUCCUGCUGCAUGUUGGGGGUUGGAAAGUUUCGGCGGUUGGGGAUGGACUCGCGGCUUAUCAGCUUGUUGGUGGGGUAGUGGCUUACCAAGGCUUUGACGGGUAGCCGGCCUGAGAGGGUGACCGGGCACAUUGGGACUGAGAUACGGCGCAGACUCCUACGGGAGGCAGCAGUGGGGAAUAUUGCACAAUGGGCGGAAGCCUGAUGCAGCAACGCCGCGUGCGGGAUGACGGCCUUCGGGUUGUAAACCGCUUUCGCCUGUGACGAAGCGUGAGUGACGGUAACGGGUAAAGAAGCAACGGCUAACUACGUG
rnacentral:rRNA from 1 species